rnacentral:rRNA from 1 species
GAUGAACGCUGGCGGCGUGCAUAACACAUUCAAGUCGAACGGUGACGGGGACUUCGGUCCCCUGAUCAGUGGCGGACGGGUGAGUAACGCGUGAGCAACCUGCCUCUGCGUGGGGGGAUAACGAUUGGAAACGAUCGCUAAUACCGCAUAAUGUAAUUUCUUGGCAUCUUGAAAUUACCAAAGAUUUAUUGCGCAGAGAUGGGCUCGCGUCUGAUUAGAUAGUUGGUGGGGUAACGGCCUACCAAGUCGACGAUCAGUAGCCGGACUGAGAGGUUGAACGGCCACAUUGGAACUGAGAAACGGUCCAGACUCCUACGGGAGGCAGCAGUGGGGAAUAUUGGGCAAUGGGCGAAAGCCUGACCCAGCGACGCCGCGUGCGGGAAGAAGGUCUUCGGAUUGUAAACCGCUGUUGAUAGGGAAGAAGAAAGUGACGGUACCUAUCGAGGAAGUCACGGCUAACUACGUG